UUCACAGUUCUCCUCGCUCGUUGUGUGAAUUACCUGAGGCUGCUGUUGUGGUCGCUAUAAGCGCCGGAGGUUCGGUCGCUAACAGCUCCACAGGUUCGGUCACUAACAGCUCCACAGGUUCGAUCGCUAACAGCGCCGGAGGGUCGGUCUCUAACAGCGCCGGAGGGUCGGUCUCUAACAGCGCCGGAGGGUCGGUCUCUAACAGCGCCGGAGGUUCGGUCUCUAACAGCGCCGGAGGGUCGGUCUCUAACAGCGCCGGAGGGUCGGUCUCUAACAGCGCCGGAGGGUCGGUCUCUAACAGCGCCGGAGGGUCGGUCUCUAACAGCGCCGGAGGGUCGGUCUCUAACAGCGCCGGAGGGUCGGUCUCUAACAGCGCCGGAGGGUCGGUCUCUAACAGCGCCGGAGGGUCGGUCUCUAACAGCGCCGGAGGGUCGGUCUCUAACAGCGCCGGAGGGUCAGUUGUUUUGGAUGUUAGCAUAGCCAACUCUCCUGCUGUCCUUUUUUCUCUGCCUUCCUCCGGCUAUUGUUAG